AGUUCUUAAAAGAAGUCUCUGAUCACCUAAAGUAAUCUGAGGAGUGAAGUAGUUGAUACUGAAGACCCAUUUUUGUCUGUAGUCACCAGAAAGUUAAUUCUCUAGGAUGUCAGUUUUAUAAUCUUCAACAAACCCUUCAGGUAUCUAAUUCUGUAACUGAAACACAACUGGAAUUUGAACAUACCAAGAAGGUGUAUUACCCAAAUUUGGGAUGGAUGUGCAUUGAUGCCACUGAUCCAGAGAAGGGAAACUGGCUGCGAUAUGUGAAUUGGGCUUGCUCAGGAGAAGAGCAAAAUUUAUUCCCACUGGAAAUCAACAGAGCCAUUUACUAUAAAACUUUAAAGCCAAUCGCGCCGGGCGAGGAGCUUCUGGUCUGGUACAAUGGGGAAGACAACCCUGAGAUAGCAGCUGCGAUUGAGGAAGAGCGAGCCAGCGCCCGGAGCAAGCGGAGCUCCCCCAAGAGCCGGAAAGGGAAGAAAAAAUCCCAGGAAAAUAAAAACAAAGGAAACAAAAUCCAAGACAUACAACUGAAGACAAGUGAGCCAGAUUUCACCUCUGCAAAUAUGAGAGAUUCUGCAGAAG
rnacentral:sRNA from 1 species